rnacentral:rRNA from 1 species
CCGGGGUGCAGCAGGCGCGAAACCUCCGCAAUGCGGGCAACCGCGACGGGGGACCCCCAGUGCCGUGGCACAGCCACGGCUUUUCCGGAGUGUAAAAAGCUCCGGGAAUAAGGGCUGGGCAAGGCCGGUGGCAGCCGCCGCGGUAAUACCGGCGGCCCAAGUGGUGGCCGCUAUUAUUGGGCCUAAAGCGUCCGUAGCCGGGCCCGUAAGUCCCUGGCGAAAUCCCACGGCUCAACCGUGGGGCUUGCUGGGGAUACUGCGGGCCUUGGGACCGGGAGAGGCCGGGGGUACCCCUGGGGUAGGGGUGAAAUCCUAUAAUCCCAGGGGGACCGCCAGUGGCGAAGGCGCCCGGCUGGAACGGGUCCGACGGUGAGGGACGAGGGCCAGGGGAGCGAACCGGAUUAGACACCCGGGUAGUCCUGGCUGUAAAGGAUGCGGGCUAGGUGUCGGGCGAGCUUCGAGCUCGCCCGGUGCCGGAGGGAAGCCGUUAAGCCCGCCGCCUGGGGAGUACGGCCGCAAGGCUGAAACUUAAAGGAAUUGGCGGGGGAGCACUACAAGGGGUGGAGCGUGCGGUUUAAUUGGAUUCAACGCCGGGAACCUCACCGGGGGCGACGGCAGGAUGAAGGCCAAGCUGAAGGUCUUGCCGGACGCGCCGAGAGGAGGAGAUGCACCGUCAGCUGUACCGUAGGGUCAUUAAGUGUGGUAAGAGCGAGACCCGCGCCCCCAGUUGCCAGUCCUCCCCGCUGGGGAGGAGGCACUCUGGGGGGACCGCCGGCGAUAAGCCGGAGGAAGGAGCGGGCGACGGUAGGUCAGUAUGCCCCGAAACCCCCGGGCUACACGCGCGCUACAAUGGGCGGGACAAUGGGAACCGACCCCGAAAGGGGAAGGGAAUCCCCUAAACCCGCCCUCAGUUCGGAUCGCGGGCUGCAACUCGCCCGCGUGAAGCUGGAAUCCCUAGUACCCGCGUGUCAUCAUCGCGCGGCGAAUACGUCCCUGCUCCUUGCACUCACCGCCCGUC